rnacentral:tRNA from 1 species
AGCCCGGUGGUGUAGCGGUCAAGCAUAUGGGGCUUUGGACCCCGAGACCCUGGUUCGAAUCCGGGCCGGGCUA